rnacentral:rRNA from 1 species
GGUCCCAGGNCCCUACGNGGCGCAGCNGUUGCGAAAACUUGUCAAUGCACGAAAGUGUGAACAGGCUACCCCGAGUGCUGUCCGCUGAGGAUGGCUUUUCUCUGCUGUUAAAAGGCGGGGGAAUAAGGAGAGGGCAAGUCUGGUGUCAGCCGCCGCGGUAAUACCAGCUCUCCGAGUGGUGGGGAUGAUUAUUGGGCCUAAAGCGUCCGUAGCCUGCCUUCCAAGUCUCUCGUUAAAUCCGGCGAUUCAAUCGUUGGACUGCGGGAGAUACUGUUAGGCUAGGAGGCGGGAGAAGCCGACGGUAUUCCCGGGGUAGGGGUAAAAUCCUAUAAUCCCGGGAGGACCACCAGUGGCGAAGGCGGCCGACUAAAACGCGCCCGACGGUGAGGGACGAAAGCUGGGGGAGCGAACGGGAUUAGAUACCCCGGUAGUCCCAGCUGUAAACGAUGCAGGCUAGGUGUUGGGACGGCUACGAGCUGUCCCAGUGCCGCAGGGAAGCCAUUAAGCCUGCCACCUGGGAAGUACGGCCGCAAGGCUGAAUUCUCACGCAAAUAAUUCUUCGCGAAAAAUCACGCGACGUGAGACAGUUCACUUAAAGGAAUUGGCGGGGGAGCAC